CCAUCUUYAAAUGAUGACUGUUUUUAUGUCUUUCAACAUCAAGUUUUUCACAGACUUCUUCAAGGUCCAUUAAAAGAGCCUCUAACACAUCAGCCUGGCUCCCUAUAGCAGCUACACAACAAACAAUAGCCUGCCUCUAUGUSACAGUUGAAAGUUUGGUCUUGUCUAUGAAAGAAACAUAAGAAGCAAUCAAAGUCUUGGACAUCAUGGGAUCAAUAGGAAACUCUGCCAUCUUCCUUCCAAGCUACAAAYGAURCAAAAACAUAUUCCUAAGAACUCRAUACAAAAUUGRACAAARAGAUAGAAGGAGCAUYACCUUUGUCAGUUCACCAUGGUGAUUUAGCGCACCCAAUGCAUAAAGCUGCUCCAAUGCAAGGAUUAAUGUCUCAGCGGGAGGAGGAUCCAUAAAGUCAAAGUGUAUCAAAUCAUUGAUUCCCAAACUCUUUAGCAGUAGA